UGGCUGAGAUGACACGAUGACGACUCAGAAUGGAGCAAGGUAUAUGCGGCAGGCAAUACUCAAUAAAGCUAAGUUGUAUAGCUUCCUAUCCCAAGAACUGAAAAAACAAAAUAUUACUAACUGGUACCUAAGGGCUGUUUAGCUGCCCAGCCCAAGAGCUGG
rnacentral:snoRNA from 1 species